CUAGCGGCGGACGGGUUAGUAACGCGUGGGAACGUACCCUUUUCUACGGAAUAGCCUCGGGAAACUGAGAGUAAUACCGUAUACGCCCUUUGGGGGAAAGAUUUAUCGGAGAAGGAUCGGCCCGCGUUAGAUUAGAUAGUUGGUGGGGUAAUGGCCUACCAAGUCUACGAUCUAUAGCUGGUUUGAGAGGAUGAUCAGCAACACUGGGACUGAGACACGGCCCAGACUCCUACGGGAGGCAGCAGUGGGGAAUCUUAAACAAUGGGCGCAAGCCUGAUCUAGCCAUGCCGCGUGAGUGAAGAAGGCCUUAGGGUCGUAAAGCUCUUUCGCCUGUGAAGAUAAUGACUGUAGCAGGUAAAGAAACCCCGGCUAACUCCGUGCCAGCAGCCGCGGUAAUACGGAGGGGGUUAGCGUUGUUCGGAAUUACUGGGCGUAAAGCGCGCGUAGGCGGACAUUUAAGUCAGAGGUGAAAUCCCAGGGCUCAACCCUGGAACUGCCUUUGAUACUGGGUGUCUUGAGUUCGAGAGAGGUGAGUGGAAUUCCGAGUGUAGAGGUGAAAUUCGUAGAUAUUCGGAGGAACACCAGUGGCGAAGGCGGCUCACUGGCUCGAUACUGACGCUGAGGUGCGAAAGUGUGGGGAGCAAACAGGAUUAGAUACCCUGGUAGUCCACACCGUAAACGAUGAAUGCCAGUCGUCGGG
rnacentral:rRNA from 1 species